UACAGAGGUCUCAAGCGUUGUUCGGAUUCAUUGGGCGUAAAGGGUGCGUAGGUGGCGUGGUAAGUCGGAUGUGAAAUCCCGGGGCUCAACCCCGGAACUGCAUUCGAUACUGCCUUGCUAGAGUACUGGAGAGGAGAUUGGAAUUUACGGUGUAGCAGUGAAAUGCGUAGAUAUCGUAAGGAAGACCAGUGGCGAAGGCGGAUCUCUGGACAGUUACUGACACUGAGGCACGAAGGCCAGGG
rnacentral:rRNA from 1 species